rnacentral:rRNA from 1 species
UACGUAGGGUGCGAGCGUUGUCCGGAAUUACUGGGCGUAAAGAGCUCGUAGGUGGUUUGUCGCGUUGUUCGUGAAAACUCACAACUCAAUUGUGGGCGUGCGGGCGAUACGGGCAGACUGGAGUACUGCAGGGGAAGACGUGAAUUCCUGGUGUAGCGGUGGAAUGCGCAGAUAUCAGGAGGAACACCGGUGGCGAAGGCGGGUCUCUGGGCAGUAACUGACGCUGAGGAGCGAAAGCGUGGGGAGCGAACAGG